rnacentral:lncRNA from 1 species
AGCAUUUGUGUUGCUUGACUGAAAUGUAGAAGUUUUGCAUACGCUAAUUAUAGAACUACAAUGUAAUUUCAUCUCGGCAAGCGGGACGAAAUACUCCAUAUGAACGCACGGAAAUAUUCGUCUCGGUAAGCGAGACGUCCCGGUAAGCGGGAUCAUAUGAACAGGCCCUAAGUUUGAUCACUGCUAUAUAUAAACAAUUCCUAUUGUGUUUUUAACAAGGUCAACCAAAUACUUGAUCAGUUUACACACCAAGAAUGAUGUAUUUACUGCAUAUAAUAUGUGAUGGAUAGAUUAUAGGUAGGUAGGUAAGAGUGCAUACAGUUAAAUAAUUAGCCAUUUCUCAUAUUUCCUUUUAUUUCCUGGUUAAGCAGGUGACUAUAAUUGUCAUGGAAGGUAUGAAGGAGGUAGCUAUGAUUUUAUCACAUGGCUAUGGGGGAUAAUUAUGACCAUUAUUAUGCUCAAAUGUAAUUAUUGUCUCAUCAGUUUUUAUCCUUUUUGUAGUGUAAACUUAAGUAUAAAAAUAAAGAUUUAUGAAUAUGUCAGACAAAUUAUAUACAAUGGGUGAUCACUUGGUAAGUAAUUUUUAUACCUUUGUUGUGGUCUGUGUAGAUGGAGGCUAUUUUGGCAAUAGCCAUGCACUUAGACAUAGCAUGACCAGUCCAUAUUUGGACUGCCUAUGUCUAUUAAACAUGAUUGAAUACCCAAAUCACAGAAUAGGAAAUUAUACCAGAAGCGUAACUCGAGCAAAUGUUUGUCCUCAUUUUUACAAGCGAUUCGUCAUCAAUCACGCCAUCCUGGCUAGUACAACCGGCACUUUGUACCUACCAAAUCCUGAUAAAAACUUCCGGCUGUACUAGCCAGGAUGGCGUGGCCUGACGUGAGCGAGUUAAAAAUUUUCGUGGACGUCAAACAAUAAGGGAAACGACUAGAGUUACGCUUCUGGUAUAACUUCUUAUUCUGUGCCCAAAUUAGAUUCAAGAUUAUAAUUAAUGAUAUGUCCCAGGCAUGGAUCCAAAAAUGACCAUGUACUGAAGUUAUAUGGCAUGAGCCAUGUAAAAUAUGGUGGGAAACAUACAAUUGGGGCUGCAUCCCACCAUAAUGCACUAGUCAAUUGAAACCCCGACCCCCGGGAUAGGGAGGGGAAAUUAACAUUUUGACAAUGUUAAAUUUUGGACAUUUCCCUGCUACCGGGAGAAUAUUGACUGUUAAAAUUACUGUCCCUAUGGCCCCAGCACUUUGAAAAUUUUCAUGACUUGGGAAAUUUUCAUGACUUGGGAAUUGUCCUGGCUAAUAAAUUGACUUGUUAUUUACCCUGUACCCCGGGGGAAAUCUGCAUUAAGACCACGGCCAUUCCCCCAUUAAUUCCCCGCCCUGUCCCAGGGGUUGGGGGUUUCAAUUGACUAGUACAUGCAUAAACAUUGCAAAGGUCCAUUUUGUAAAUUAAUGGCACUAUGUAUUUAAUCUUAAUUUAUAGGGCCUGUGAGUUCAUAUCUGGAAUAAAAUAAUGGCAAAUCUACAGAAAUAUCACUGCUAAGGAGUGUCAAACAAAUUCAGGAGGACUGAAUUAACUGGAUGUUCUCAGGAUGAAAAAGAAAUUGUUGACUUUAAUUGAAUAAUCAUUAUCAUUAAUGUAAGGUUAAAAAUAUUGAACAUUCAAAAGGAUGCAGACAGAAAAUUUAAAGUACUGGGCCUGAAUUUCAGGUUAAGUGAUCCAGGAAUGGGGUUGGCCCUCUGCAGGCUAAAUCAAUUGAGGGAGAUCCCUUUAUUUCAAGUUAAAUGAUUAUUUGAAUAAGAUGCCAUUCAGGCAAUUAAAGGGCCUGCAUGGUUAGGUCCAUAUUUUAAUUCAAAUUAUUAAGUACUCGAUUUAUCCAUCAACAAAACCCAACAUUAAAAUUUCCAUCGAGUGAGAUGCAACAAAACCAUCUAUAGUUUAUUAAUUAUGUUAACCUACUCCAUCAAUUGGCAAUGAGCCUACUUUAGUAAUAAUUUUAUAUACUCCAUCUCUAAUUUGCCCAUUAUAUUUAUAAACUGACAGUUAAUACUAUUACUCUUUCACAUACUAAUAAAAUCAUCUGGGCCCGGUUGUUCGAAGCCCGUGUAAGCCUUUGAACUACCGGCCCCAGAUGAUUUUAUUAGUAUGUGAAAGAGUAAUUAUUAACUGUCAGUUUAUAAAUAUAAUGGGCAAAUAUAUGAUUAUGUACAAAUUGCAUGCAUGGUUCAUAAAGUCUCUGUGAUAGACUUGCUCCAACAGAUUCAAAUUCCAUCCUGACAAUACCUAAAUAAUAAUUAUAGAGGUUGCAGUGUUGCACUACCUUUUGCUAAAAUACUGCCAUUGUUUACCAGUAUUUAAUAUGAACUCAAAAGUCAAAACACUUAACACUAUGAAGUAUUUAGAUUUAUAAAUAGUACUUAGUAUUUUAUAAACCUUAAUUGCAUAUAAAAUAGUUUAUAAUUAUCUUACCUUUGUACUUUUACUGUAAUUAUCUCUUUAGUUUGUAUUUGUUCACUAAUCUGUAUUUUCUUGUUUCAAAAUAAACUGAAUUUCAUAUCAAGAAGCGAAGUUUGUCUGUCUGUGUGCUUAUUUAAAGGCACAGUUCAGCCUUCUGAGUGAUGGUUUCUAUGGCGCAUUACAAGACUUUUAAUUGAAAAAACUAACUAGGAAAAUCAAUUAAGCAUAAUUCAAAAUCAG